UUUUUGAAUUAAUAAUUUAAAGUCUAAUCUGCCCMCUGAUAAUAUAUUAAAGGGCUGCAGUAUUUUGNCUGUACAAAGGUAGCAUAAUCAUUAGUCUCUUAAUUGGUGACUUGUAUGAAAGAUUUAAUGAGAUAUAUACUGUCUCUUUUUAAUUUGUAGAAUUUAAUUUUUUAGUUAAAAAGCUAAAAUUUAUUUAAAAGACGAGAAGACCCUAUAGAGUUUUAUAUUUAAAUUAUAUUAAAAUUUUUUAUAAAAUUUAUUAUUUUAAUAUAUAUAUAUAAAUAUUUUGUUGGGGUGAUAAAAAAAUUAAAAUAACUUUUUUUAUAAUUUUNCAUUAAUAAAUGAAUAAAUGAUCCGUAAUUUACGAUUAUAAGAAAAAAUUACCUUAGGGAUAACAGCGUAAUUUUUUUUUUUAGUUCUAAUAAGAAAAAGAGUUUGCGACCUCGAUGUUGGAUUAAGAUAAAAUUUAAAUGCAAAAGUUUAAAAUUUUUGAUCUGUUCGAUCAUUAAAAUCUUACA
rnacentral:rRNA from 1 species